rnacentral:lncRNA from 1 species
UCUGAAAGCUUAUGUAGUGUAAAUUGUGUCUUGGAAAUUAUAUUCCAGAUCUCACUGUUCAAGAUCAGUUUGUAAUAUAACAUUAGAAAGCAGAUACAUAGAAUCAAACUUCCUGCUCAUAUAAGAUUUCAGAGGAAGAUGAAGACUGCGCAAGAAGCAAGUGUCUCACCACGUUGGAAAUCAAACUUUUUAAGUCUGCCAGUAGCUUACAGUGUAGAAAGGUGUGCUUCUCUCUCUUUCUUGGAUAGAGUUAGAGGCAAUGCCUGAUACCCAGCCAAGAUGGACAAAGGACAAGGA